rnacentral:rRNA from 1 species
CCUACGGGUGGCAGCAGUGGGGGAUAUUGCACAAUGGGGGAAACCCUGAUGCAGCGACGCCGCGUGUGGGAAGACGGUCCUCUGGAUUGUAAACCACUGUCCCCAGGGACGAAGAUGACGGUACCUGGGGAGGAAGCUCCGGCUAACUACGUGCCAGCAGCCGCGGUACGACGUAGGGAGCGAGCGUUGUACGGAAUUACUGGGUGUAAAGGGAGCGGAGGCGGGGAUGCAAGUUGGGUGUCAAAACUACCGGCUCAACUGGGAGUCUCACUCAAAACUGCAGCUCUUGAGUGAAGUAGAGGCAGGCGGAAUUCCUAGGGUAGCGGUGAAAUGCGUAGAUAUUAGGAGGAACACCAGUGGCGAAGGCGGCCUGCUGGGCUUUUACUGACGCUGAGGCUCGAAAGUGUGGGGAGCAAACAGGAUUAGAUACCCUAGUAGUC